rnacentral:rRNA from 1 species
AACGAACGCUGGCGGCGCGCCUAAUACAUGCAAGUCGAGCGAGAAGACGUAGCAAUACGUUUGUAAAGCGGCGAACGGGUGAGGAAUACAUGGGUAACCUACCCUCGAGUGGGGAAUAACUAGCCGAAAGGUUAGCUAAUACCGCGUACGCUCCUUGGACUUCGGUUCAGGGAGGAAAGCGAUACCGUGGGUAUCGCGCUCUUGGAUGGGCUCAUGUCCUAUCAGCUUGUUGGUGAGGAACGGCUCACCAAGGCUUCGACGGGUAGCUGGUCUGAGAGGACGAUCAGCCACACUGGCACUGCGACACGGGCCAGACUCCUACGGGAGGCAGCAGUAAGGAAUAUUGCGCAAUGGGCGAAAGCCUGACGCAGCGACGCCGCGUGGGGGAUGAAGGUC